rnacentral:piRNA from 1 species
UGAUCUGGGUUUGAUCUGAAU